AUAUUGUAUUGCUAUUUCAUUUCAGAUGCGAUUCUAUGGGUUUAAUAAUAAUUUACUCUUAAUGAAGAUAGUGUUUUAAUUUAAUAAAGAACUCGUGUGUAAAGAGGCAGCUUGUAGCUCGCAAAAACCAGAUCCCAAAGCCGCUGUAUUAACCGUAUUAUAUGUUUUGCGUGUGUGCAGUGUGUUGUGUCUUGUCUAGUAGUAGAGAUGUGUUUUGUACCUCACGCUUUUGCAAUAUAUACCUUACCAAAACUAAAAGGCCACAUUCUAUGUUACGGUUUCUUUCCUGAUAAUGUGGCUGAAGGUUCAUUAGUGUAAACAUGAAAAAACAGAUAUGUUAAUAGAUAUGUUAUUGCAAUAUGCUGCAGUAUUUUGCCAAUUCUAUCCAAUGUUCGUGGGCCAGUGAUCGCUUCAAUAAUCUGAUGUUAACAACUUGAUAUUUCCUUUGCUCACAUUUUUUAAUAUGAUAAGAGUUUAUGUGCAUUUUCGUUACAACUUCACAACCUUUCAUUGUGCACACUUGUAUUAUGGGGCUAUGAUUGUUCAAUCAUUUGGCUGACGUUUUGACAAGUCUUCUACGUAUGGUACUAAUUACAUGUAAAAAGGUAAGACACACACACCUCUGAAAUAGGUCAGCAAAGAACGCCUGACCAAUCAGGAAGUACAAAAUCCAAACGGCUGAAUGUCAGUUAUCGCGCAGAUAAUUUAUUUACAGCGUAUUUGUUUUAAAAUACAUAAUGUGUUUGAUUAUACUUGUGCACCUUAACAUUUACAGGGGCCUUUUCACAGAUUUUGGUAUAUUUUGUCAUUAAAUGCUUUAUAUAAAUAAAUGUAAACAUUGGAUCCAAAAAGCGCCAGUACAAAAUCAAGAACAAAAUUUAAAAAAGAAAAAAAGGUAACCCUCAGCAGGGCUCGAACAACUGACCCCUGGUGUCCUGGAGUAUAAAGACUACAACUUAUCCACUCGGCCAUCCUUCCAGAUACUAUGUCCGUUGUAUGUUAUGCUUUAUAUAAGCAAUCCUCGUAGUUUCACAAAAUAUAACGACAACAAUAGAACUCUCCAAAUUAUUUAUUCGUUUCGCGUUGCAACGCUUUAUAAUUUUCAGGUUUUAAAAUCGUCAAAAUAUGCAUAGAAUGGAUAUUUAAGAGCAUGGUAAGUGUUCAGUAUUACGUUUUCCUCACACAUAUAAUAAUUAAAACGAAAAUUUGCGAAACUGAAACAACUUUUUUUAAUAUUGUCAAUUUACCAAAACGUUAAAAGGCCCCUAUAAAAAAAAUUCUGUCAACUGUCCCAAAAAUAGACAUUAUCUCGACGAAUAAAAUUCCGUUGCAAACACAUGAGGAUCACAUGCUAAACCAUGUCUUGUUUUGCAAAGCGUUAACUCAUAGUUAAGGUCAUCUAUUAUCUCGGUGUACAGGUAACUGAAAUCUAAAGAAUUGAGCAAAGGAAAAAUCGUUAUCUAUGGGCAUGUUUAAAAUGGAUUAAUGCAUUAAGUUAAAACAAUGAUUAUGUUAUAAACUAUAUUAAAUGUAUUAUAUAAUAGUAGAUUAUUCAAAGUUUCGCGGUCUGUGCUCUGUGGACCUUGAUUUAAUUGGAGAUCUUAAAGCCUGUUCAUAGUCUCUAGUUGGUACUAUAACAUUUCGCGGUCUGUUCUCUGUUAAACUUGAUGUGGGUGGAGAUGUGACAGUCUGUGAACAGUCCAACAUUUUCAAAGUCGUUAUUCACGCUGUAUGGCUUGACUUACUUCGUUCCGAAAGAGUCCGGAGCAGCUGGUUUCAGCGAUGUUUUAUGGUCAUUCCUUGUAUUCAAGAUUCCGCUCAGCCACUAAUUGCUCAGAGACUUACACCUGCCAGUUGUGUACCCAGCCUGCCAGUUGUGUAUCCAGCCUGCCAGUUGUGUACCCAGCCUGCCAGUUGUGUACCCAGCCUGCCAGUUGUGUACCUAGCCUGCCAGUUGUGUACCCAGCCUGCCAGUUGUGUACCCAGCCUGCCAGUUGUGUACCAAGCCUGCCAGUUGUGUACCCAGCCUGCCAGUUGUGUACCCAGCCAAACGCCAAGGCAUCGGCCGUUCUUUGGAAGGCAGUGUAGGACAAUACGUAUCAACAUCAAGUCUGAAGAUGCUCUUCAUGAAAAGUUACUUAUCAUGUUAAAAGAGGUCUAAUUUAAAUUGUUUGUUUUUUCGAUGAUAAACUUGUCAUUUA